rnacentral:rRNA from 1 species
AGGCCUAACACAUGCAAGUCGAACGGUAACAGGAAGCAGCUUGCUGUUUCGCUGACGAGUGGCGGACGGGUGAGUAAUGUCUGGGAAACUGCCUGAUGGAGGGGGAUAACUACUGGAAACGGUGGCUAAUACCGCAUAACGUCGCAAGACCAAAGAGGGGGACCUUCGGGCCUCUUGCCAUCAGAUGUGCCCAGAUGGGAUUAGCUUGUUGGUGAGGUAACGGCUCACCAAGGCGACGAUCCCUAGCUGGUCUGAGAGGAUGACCAGCCACACUGGAACUGAGACACGGUCCAGACUCCUACGGGAGGCAGCAGUGGGGAAUAUUGCACAAUGGGCGCAAGCCUGAUGCAGCCAUGCCGCGUGUAUGAAGAAGGCCUUCGGGUUGUAAAGUACUUUCAGCGGGGAGGAAGGUGUUGUGGUUAAUAACCGCAGCAAUUGACGUUACCCGCAGAAGAAGCACCGGCUAACUCCGUGCCAGCAGCCGCGGUAAUACGGAGGGUGCAAGCGUUAAUCGGAAUUACUGGGCGUAAAGCGCACGCAGGCGGUCUGUCAAGUCGGAUGUGAAAUCCCCGGGCUCAACCUGGGAACUGCAUUCGAAACUGGCAGGCUUGAGUCUUGUAGAGGGGGGUAGAAUUCCAGGUGUAGCGGUGAAAUGCGUAGAGAUCUGGAGGAAUACCGGUGGCGAAGGCGGCCCCCUGGACAAAGACUGACGCUCAGGUGCGAAAGCGUGGGGAGCAAACAGGAUUAGAUACCCUGGUAGUCCACGCCGUAAACGAUGUCUACUUGGAGGUUGUGCCCUUGAGGCGUGGCUUCCGGAGCUAACGCGUUAAGUAGACCGCCUGGGGAGUACGGCCGCAAGGUUAAAACUCAAAUGAAUUGACGGGGGCCCGCACAAGCGGUGGAGCAUGUGGUUUAAUUCGAUGCAACGCGAAGAACCUUACCUGGUCUUGACAUCCACGGAAGUUUUCAGAGAUGAGAAUGUGCCUUCGGGAACCGUGAGACAGGUGCUGCAUGGCUGUCGUCAGCUCGUGUUGUGAAAUGUUGGGUUAAGUCCCGCAACGAGCGCAACCCUUAUCCUUUGUUGCCAGCGAUUAGGUCGGGAACUCAAAGGAGACUGCCAGUGAUAAACUGGAGGAAGGUGGGGAUGACGUCAAGUCAUCAUGGCCCUUACGACCAGGGCUACACACGUGCUACAAUGGCGCAUACAAAGAGAAGCGACCUCGCGAGAGCAAGCGGACCUCAUAAAGUGCGUCGUAGUCCGGAUUGGAGUCUGCAACUCGACUCCAUGAAGUCGGAAUCGCUAGUAAUCGUGGAUCAGAAUGCCACGGUGAAUACGUUCCCGGGCCUUGUACACACCGCCCGUCACACCAUGGGAGUGGGUUGCAAAAGAAGUAGGUAGCUUAACCUUCGGGAGGGCGCUUACCACUUUGUGAUUCAUGACUGGGGUGAAGUCGUAACAAGGUAACCGUAGGGGAACCUGCGGUUGGAUCACCUCCUUA